rnacentral:lncRNA from 1 species
CUAGCCAUAGCUCUCUCUGCUCGGCCUUGGGCUGGGUGAAUAAUGACUUCCAUUUCCUGCCCUGCUGGAGCCUUGGGUCUUUGCCACUGCCACCGUGGUGCUGAGCCACUUAUUUGUUGUGAGAUGACCCAAGGAGGACCAGCCGGUACCUGCUAGGCCCUUCUGCUGGGGCACGGGGUCAGGGGGCAGCACAUGGGCAUGUGGCCCCACUCCUGUCUGCUCCCCAGGACAACUCUAUUUUCCAGCAUGGAGUGCCCCUGGAGGUGGCGACAGCUCCUCUAAUAAGAGAGUUACUCAUGGCUUCACUGGAGAGAAGAGAGCAGCUUUCAACCCCCCUCUCCUAAACGCAACGAUAUUUGGUAACAUGCGGCAUCUUGGGGAGAGCAUUCAUGUCUGUAAUUAGUUACUGUAUAUCACGGUGCCAGGACUACAGACAGGGCAACGGAGAGCAGGGGCUUGCUGGAGAAAUCCAUCCUUCCCUGGGAUCUCUUGGAGGGCUCUCCAUCUCUCUUAGAGCAGUUUCUUUCUUAGACAGUUGAAGCUGCCUCAGUGGUCUCCCCAGAUCAUGCAGGUCGGGGCAGAAGCUUCUCACUCAGAGAACUGAGAAUAUCAUUUUUCACAGAAGUCUAAGGUGGAAUUUAGACCAAGAUAUUCUUGGCCUUAGCAGUUUGACUCGGGCGGGGGUUUGAAGCUGGAACUUUUCAACAUACAUCUCCAAGCUUCAGGAGGAAGCUAGACACAUCUGAAAGCCUCUGAACAACCUGCGAUGAAGAUUCUUGAAAAAAGAGACCAUUUGCCUUAGGGGCUAAGAGUACAGGUGCAAGAGACAGACCGCCCACAUUAAAAUCUGACUCCACUCCUGAGCUGUGUGACUUUGGGGAAGUUCCUCAACUGAAGUCACAAAGACCUAAUCUGGGAGGUGGGAAUAGUCAUAGAAAAAGGAUCGUGGGGAAAUGAAACGAGAGAAUACAUGUAACGUUCUUGGCUCACAGCGCCCGGUGAAUGUUAGCUGCUAUUACUGUUGUUCCUACCACCGCACCCUCUCCCAUUCCUUUCCUUCUCAAUUCUAUUGACAUUUUUGGUGUCUAACUCCUUUUGAGAGAUCAUGACUUUUGUAGAACUAGGCUGCUUUCACUCUUUGAGGGUGGUCUUUCUGAUUGAUCCAUCAGUCUGCAUUCUCCUUGCCGUCCUUGGUAUGCACACACAUGCAUGGAAGCUAUAUUCCUCCUUCAUACUGGACUUUGAGGACAACGUUUUCAUGUUUCACAUUUCCCACUUCAUCUCCUUUGUUUUCCACUUGCUUAGUUUCCUACUCUUCCCUUUAUCCUGAGGUGUCGUGAGGGCAAUGGCCUGCAGAGUCCAAAGGUGGCUGUCAUGUCAUUUGUCCACGUUUGCAUUCCCGUGCCCUCCCCACAGAUGGCUGCUCUCUGGGCUGCACGCACGUUGGGUUCACUGAUCGCAGAGUCUUUUUCUGGCUGCCAAGAACAUGGUAGCCUCCCAGAGGCUGUUGGCAUGUGGAUGCUGCCUCUGUGAUCCACAGCCCCGCCAGGCUGAUGCUUCAGGAAUGGAUCACACCUUGGCUGGACCCAUCAGGCUGGAACACCAGAUUCUUAAUCAACUGUAGGUGCUACUGUCGCUCUAGGACCUGCCGAUGCCCUCUGUCCUUCUCUGGUGACUUUGUCCACGUGGAUCUUCAGUUCCUUCAACAUGUGUGCUUGUUGCCCCUUGGAGCCCACCUCCUCAAGCAAGCCUCCCAGCCCAGUCAGCCCCUGUGCACUCUCAUGUUACCUGUGCAUCUCCUUCACAACUCACGUCACUGAUGGACUUACGCAGUUGGGUGUGUAUUUGGUAACCUGUCUUCCUCCUGCUGAAAUAUCAACUCCAAGAGGGCAAGGAGUGUGUCUAUUUGUUCACUACAGUAUUAUAUGAACACCCCUGGCAUAUAAUAAGUGCUCCCUCAGAAUUUGAGUAUUAUAUGGACACCCUUGGCAUAUAAUAAAUGCUCCCUCAGAAUUUGAGUAUUAUAUGGACACCCUUGGCAUAUAAUAAAUGCUCCCUCAGAAUUUGAGUAUUAUAUGGACACCCCUGGCAUAGAAUAAAUGCUCCCUCAGUAUUUGAAUAAAUAAAUGUGGUGUCAAUUUGGAUUAA